GACGUAGGGCGCGAGCGUUGUCCGGAUUUAUUGGGCGUAAAGAGCUCGUAGGCGGCUUGUCGCGUCGUCCGUGAAAACCCACGGCUUAACUGUGGCUUGCGGUCGAUACGGGCAGGCUAGAGUUCGGUAGGGGAGACUGGAAUUCCUGGUGUAGCGGUGAAAUGCGCAGAUAUCAGGAGGAACACCGGUGGCGAAGGCGGGUCUCUGGGCCGAUACUGACGCUGAGGAGCGAAAGCGUGGGGAGCGAACAGG
rnacentral:rRNA from 1 species